UCUACGGGAGGCAGCAGUCGAGAAUCAUUCACAAUGGGGGAAACCCUGAUGGUGCGACGCCGCGUGGGGGAAUGAAGGUCUUCGGAUUGUAAACCCCUGUCAUGUGGGAGCAAAUUAAAAAGAUAGUACCACAAGAGGAAGAGACGGCUAACUCUGUGCCAGCAGCCGCGGUAAUACAGAGGUCUCAAGCGUUGUUCGGAAUCACUGGGCGUAAAGCGUGCGUAGGCUGUUUCGUAAGUCGUGUGUGAAAGGCGCGGGCUCAACCCGCGGACGGCACAUGAUACUGCGAGACUAGAGUAAAGGAGGGGGAACCGGAAUUCUCGGUGUAGCAGUGAAAUGCGUAGAUAUCGAGAGGAACACUCGUGGCGAAGGCGGGUUCCUGGACAUUAACUGACGCUGAGGCACGAAGGCCAGGGGAGCGAAAGGGAUUAGAUACCCGAGUAGUC
rnacentral:rRNA from 1 species